rnacentral:rRNA from 1 species
GAGCGGCAGACGGGUGAGUAACACGUGGGGAUCUACCCAAUGGUACGGAAUAACCCAGGGAAACUUGGAUUAAUACCGUAUGUGCCCUUCGGGGGAAAGAUUUAUCGCCAUUGGAUGAACCCGCGUCGGAUUAGCUAGUUGGUGAGGUAAAGGGCACACCAGCGACAAUAUCCAGCUGUGCUGAGAGAAGAGGAUGAUCAGCCACACUGGGACUGAGACACGGCCCAGACUCCUACGGGAGGCAGCAGUGGGGAAUAUUGGACAAUGGGCGCAAGCCUGAUCCAGCCAUGCCGCGUGUGUGAUGAAGGCCUUAGGGUUGUAAAGCACUUUCGCCGGUGAAGAUAAUGACGGUAACCGGAGAAGAAGCCCCGGCUAACUUCGUGCCAG